UUUAAAAAUUUAUUUUUAACUUUGCUUUUGUACUGCUCCGUACUUGCUCCUUUGGGGCGCAGCUAACUUUCAGUCCCGUUGGGUAUGUACAUAUAUAUAUA